CUCCCUGUUGAGGACCAGUAAUCUUUUGUAAUAUUAUAACUAAAUUUCAUUGUAGGCGGGAGUGUAUCAUCAAUGAUAUGUUUGUGUGCGCAUUGAUAUGUUUCUUUGUUCGUGCGCUUGUUGAAUGUAUUUUGUUGUUGACGUGGCGUUUCUGCCUUCCUGGAGGGUGCAGCCAUUGUGAGGAGUCAGUUGUGCUCCAGUGUUUACUCCACCGCCACCACCUCCCUGUCCAGGAUUUUGUGCCAUGUGGUUGGUGUUUGUGUAUUGACGGGUGGCGUAGGACUUUGUGUGUGCGCCGGUUCGGUAGGGAGGUGGUGGUGGUCAGUGCACUGACGGUGAUUUGUAUGCCGGGUACUUGGUACUGCCUGACGGCCAAUUAAGUGGUGAUACCUGGGUGGUGAUGGUCGUCGCCAAACUGCUGAAGCAAGCUGGUAACGGUCUGAUAUACCGGGACUAGGGCGAUUGGGCCGUAGGCCAAUGAAGUGAGUUAUGUCUUAUCAUUUAUUGUGUAUAGGAAUUGUUUACAUUGUUAUUGUUGGCUCAGAAAUAUUCAUCUAAUGUUACUACGUGAUGCUGUGUGUAAAAUUUCGUGAAUGACUCAUGCCAUGCUGCCCAUACAGGUUGAAAUAAGCGAUUUGACAACG